AAUCUCCCACCACAAGCGGUUUUUAUGAAACGGCUUGGCGGACGGGGUCUUGAUGGGUGCUGCUGCCUGUGCUUGACCACAGGCUCGCCCGAAAUGCAUGAGCGCCUUGGGACACUUUGCAUCCGCCUCUCUUGUUGGGAGGAGGCGGCCAAGCAGUGUUUCUCCUGGCAUAGCAUGAUACGUCAUUUGCUAUGUCGCCUAAUGGAGGAUGUUUGGUUGUGUCUGCGUGUGCUUAACUGCCUCUGUGCACAUCCCGAUUUCAC
rnacentral:misc_RNA from 3 species